rnacentral:rRNA from 1 species
AUUGAACGCUGGCGGCAGGCCUAACACAUGCAAGUCGAACGGUAGCACAGAGGAGCUUGCUCCUUGGGUGACGAGUGGCGGACGGGUGAGUAAUGUCUGGGAAACUGCCCGAUGGAGGGGGAUAACUACUGGAAACGGUAGCUAAUACCGCAUAACGUCGCAAGACCAAAGAGGGGGACCUUCGGGCCUCUUGCCAUCGGAUGUGCCCAGAUGGGAUUAGCUAGUAGGUGGGGUAACGGCUCACCUAGGCGACGAUCCCUAGCUGGUCUGAGAGGAUGACCAGCCACACUGGAACUGAGACACGGUCCAGACUCCUACGGGAGGCAGCAGUGGGGAAUAUUGCACAAUGGGCGCAAGCCUGAUGCAGCCAUGCCGCGUGUAUGAAGAAGGCCUUCGGGUUGUAAAGUACUUUCAGCGAGGAGGAAGGCGUUGUGGUUAAUAACCGCAACGAUUGACGUUACUCGCAGAAGAAGCACCAGCUAACUCCGUGCCAGCCGCCGCGGUAAAAGGG